AGAAAAAAGAAAAAUUUGAAGAAAAGGGAGAAGAAAUUCUGCACACAAGUUGAAAAGAAUAUCGGGAAGGAACCCGAGGAAACGAGUCGAGGCUAAGGGACGACUCGCUUGAGAUAAAAGCAAGGAGAAAGCAGCAGAGUGAGCUGCGGAAUUGACAAGAUCUUUUUGAUCCCUUUUUGUACGGGUAUUAUUUUAUACCCUUAUGGUUAUUUUGAUGUAAAUACUGUAAUGUCAUAAGUAUCAAUGUAAAUUGAGCAGUUGUAAAUAAACUAUAAUAAUAUUAUUUUAGAUUUUCUUCUGUAAAUUUAAUAUUUGUACAUAUGGAUUUUCUGCCUUA